rnacentral:rRNA from 1 species
GACGAACGCUGGCGGCGUGCUUAACACAUGCAAGUCGAACGGAAAGGCCCUGCUUGCAGGGUACUCGAGUGGCGAACGGGUGAGUAACACGUGGGUGAUCUGCCCUGCACUUCGGGAUAAGCCUGGGAAACUGGGUCUAAUACCGGAUAGGAGCCAUUUUUAGUGUGAUGGUUGGAAAGUUUUUUCGGUGUAGGAUGAGCUCGCGGCCUAUCAGCUUGUUGGUGGGGUAAUGGCCUACCAAGGCGGCGACGGGUAGCCGGCCUGAGAGGGUGGACGGCCACAUUGGGACUGAGAUAAGGCCCCGACUCCUACGGGAGGCAGCAGGGGGGAAUAUUGCACAAUGGGCGCAAGCCUGAUGCAGCGACGCCGCGUGGGGGAUGACGGCCUUCGGGUUGUAAACUCCUUUCGCUAGGGACGAAGCUUUUUGUGACGGUACCUAGAUAAGAAGCACCGGCUAACUACGUG